rnacentral:rRNA from 1 species
UACGGAGGGGGCUAGCGUUGUUCGGAAUUACUGGGCGUAAAGCGCACGUAGGCGGCUUUGUAAGUUAGAGGUGAAAGCCCAGGGCUUAACCCUGGAAUUGCCUUUAAGACCGCAUCGCUAGAAUCGUGGAGAGGUGAGUGGAAUUCCGAGUGUAGAGGUGAAAUUCGUAGAUAUUCGGAAGAACACCAGUGGCGAAGGCGACUCACUGGACACGUAUUGACGCUGAGGUGCGAAAGCGUGGGGAGCAAACAGG